rnacentral:lncRNA from 1 species
UUGACAUCCAUUCGUUCUAUAUUUACACUCUCGCGGUAUAAUAGAAUAUUAUAAUUAGAUUUUACUCUUUGUUCGAUUGAAUAAGAAAAAGUACUCGUUGCAAAGUUAUACUGUUAGGGCACAAUUGAGUAGUCUAUCUUUGUUCCGGUUUUGGUUCUUGUGUAGGUUGACAUCGAUUCGUUCCAAAUUUACACUCUCAGGACACAAUAGAACAAUAUAAUUAGCUUUUCUCUUUAUUGGAUUAAAUGAGAAAAAGUACUCGUUGCAAAGUUAUACUGUUAGGGCGCAACUGAGUAGUCUUUUUUUGUUCCGGUUUUUGUUCUUUUAAAGGUUGACAUCAAUUCGUUCCAUAUUUACACUCUCGGGGUAUAAUAGAACAAUAUAAUUCGCUUUUACUUUUUGUUCGAUUUAAUAAUAAAAAGUACUCGUUACAAAGUUAUACAGUUAGCGCGUAACUGAGUAGUCUACUUUUGUUCCGGUUUAGGUUCUUUCGAAGGUUGACAUCCAUUCGUUCCAUAUUUACACUCUCGAGGUAUAAUAGAACAAUAUAAAUAGGUUUUUCUCUUUUGUUCGAUAGAUUGAGAAAAAGUACUCGUCGCAAAGUUAUACUGUUAGGACGUAACUGAGUAUUCUAAUGUUGUUCCGAUUUUUGUUCUUGUGAUUGACAUCAAUUCGUUCCAUAUUUACACUCUCGGGGUAUAAUAGAACAAUAUAAUUAGCUUUUACUCUUCGUUCGAUUGAAUGAUAAAAAGUACUCGUUGCAAAGUUAUACUGUUAGGGCGCAACUGAGUAGUCUACUUUUGUUCGGUUUAGGUUCUUUUGAAGGUUGACAUCCAUUCGUACCAUAUUUACACUCUCGCGGUAUAAUAGAACAAUAUAAUUAGAUUUUACUCUUUGUUCGAUUGAAUAAAAAAAAGUACUCGUUCCAAAGUUAUAUUGUUUGGGCGCAACUGAGUAGUCUAUUUUUGUUCCGGUUUUGAUUCUUGUGAAGGUUGACAUCGAUUCGUUCCAAAUUUACACUCUCGGGGCACAAUAGAACAUUAUAAUUAGCUUUAACUCUUUAUUGGAUUAAAUGAGAAAAAGUACUCGUUGCAAAGUUAUACUGUUAGGGCUCAACUGAGUAGUCUAUUUUUGUUCCGAUUAUUGUUCUUUUAAUGGUUGACAUCAAUUCGUUCCAUAUUUACACUCUCGGGUUAUAAUAGAACAAUAUAAUUCGCUUUUACUCUUUGUUCGAUUGAAUGAUAAAAAGUACUCGUUACAAAGAUAUACAGUUAGGGUGUAACUGAGUAGUCUACUUUUGUUCCGGUUUAGGUUCUUUUGAAGGUUGACAUCCAUUCGUUCUAUAUUUACACUCUCGGGGUAUAAUAGAACAUUAUAAUUAGAUUUUACUCUUUGUUCGAUUGAAAGAUAAAAAGUACUCGUCGUAAAGUUACAUUGUUAGGGCGGAACUGAGUAGUCAUUUUUUGUUCCUUUUUUGGUUCUUGUGAAGGUUGACCUCGAUUCGUUCCAAAUUUACACUCUCGGGGCACAAUAGAACAAUAUAAUUAGCUUUUACUCUUUGUUCGAUUAAAUGAGAAAAAGUACUCGUUGCAAAGUUUUACUGUUAGGGCGCAACUGAGUAGUCUUUUUUUGUUCCGGUUUUGGUUCUUUUGAAGGUUGACAUCCAUUCGUUCCAUAUUUACACUCUCGCGAUAUAAUAGAACAAUAUAAUUAGCUAUUACUCUUUGUUCGAUUGAAUGAGAAAAAGUACUCGUUGCAAGUUAUCCUGUUAGGGCGCAACUGAGUAGUCUAUUUUUGUUCCAGUUUUGGUUCUUGUGAAGUUUGACAUCGAUUCGUUCCAAAUUUACACUCUCGGGGCAUAAUAGAACAAUAUAAUUUGCUUUUACUCUUUGUUCGAUUGAAUGAGAAAAAGUACUGGUCGCAAAGUUAUAUUGUUAGGGCGGAACUGAGUAGUCUUUUUUUGUUCCGGUUUUGGUUCUUGUGAAGGUUGACCUCGAUUCGUUCCAAAUUUACACUCUCCGGACACAAUAGAACAAUAUAAUUAGCUUUUACUCUCUGUUCGAUUAAAUGAGAAAUAGUACUCGUUGCAAUAUUAUACUGUUAGGGCGCAUCUGAGUAGUCUCCUUUUGUUCCGGUUUUGGUGUUUUUGAAGGUUGAUAUCCAUUCGUACCAUAUUUACACUCUCGCGGUAUAAUAGAACAAUAUAAUUAGAUUUUACUCUUUGUUCGAUUGAAUAAGAAAAAGUACUCGUUGCAAAGUUAUACUGUUAGGGCGCAACUGAGUAGUCUAUUUUUGUUCCAGUUUUGGUUCUUGUGAAUGUUGACAUCGAUUCGUUCCAAAUUUACACUCUCGGGACACAAUAGAACAAUAUAAUUAGCUUUAACUCUUUAUUGUAUUAAAUGAGAAAAAGUACUCGUUGCAAAGUUAUACUGUUGGGGUGCAACUGAGUAGUCUUUUUUUGUUCCGGUUUUGGUUCUUUUAAAGGUUGACAUCAAUUCGUUCCAUAUUUACACUCUCGGGGUAUAAUAGAACAAUAUAAUUAGCUUUUACUCUUUGUUCGAUUGAAUGAUAAAAAGUACUCGUUACAAAGUUAUACAGUUAGGGCGUAACUGAGUAGUCUACAUUUGUUCCGGUUUAGGUUCUUUUGAAAGUUGACAUCCAUUCGUACCAUAUUUACACUCUCGCGGUAUAUUAGAACAAUAUAAUUCGAUUUUACUCUUUGUUCGAUUGAAUAAAAAAAAGUACUCGUUCCAAAGUUAUACUGUUUGGGCGCAACUGAGUAGUCUAUUUUUUUUCCGGUUUUGGUUCUUGUGAAUGUUGACAUCGAUUAGUUCCAAAUUUACACUCUCGGGGCACAAUAGAACAAUAUAAUUAGAUUUAACUCUUUAUUGGAUUAAAUGAGAAAAAGUACUCGUUGCAAAGUUAUACUGUUAGGGCGCAACUGAGUAGUCUUUUUUUGUUCCGGUUUUUGUUCUUUUAAAGGUUGACAUCAAUUCGUUCCAUAUUUACACUCUCGGGGUAUAAUAGAACAAUAUAAUUCGCUUUUACUUUUUGUUCGAUUUAAUAAUAAAAAGUACUCGUUACAAAGUUAUACAGUUAGCGCGUAACUGAGUAGUCUACUUUUGUUCCGGUUUAGGUUCUUUCGAAGGUUGACAUCCAUUCGUUCCAUAUUUACACUCUCGCGGUAUAAUAGAAUAAUAUAAUUAGAUUUUACUCUUUGUUCGAUUGAAUGAGAAAAAGUACUCGUUGCAAAGUUAUAUUGUUAGGGCGGAACUGAGUAGUCUUUUUUUGUUCCGUUUUUUGUUCUUGUGAAGGUUGAUAUCGAUUCGUUCCAAAUUUACACUCUCAGGACACAAUAGAAAAAUAUAAUUAGCUUUUACACUUUGUUCGAUUGAAUGAGAAAAAGUACUCGUUGCAAAGUUAUACUGUUAGGACGCAACUGAGUAGUCUUUUUUGUUCCGGUUAUUGUUCUUUUAAAGGUUGACAUCAAUUCGUUGCAUAUUUACACUCUCGGGGUAUAAUAGAAUAAUAUAAUUAUCUUUUACUCUUUGUUCGAUUGAAUGAUAAAAAGUACUCGUUGCAAGUUAUACUGUUAGGGCGCAACUGAGUAGUCUAUUUUUGUUCCGGUUUUCGUUCUUGUGAAUGUUGAUAUCGAUUCGUUCCAAAUUUACACUCUCGGGGCACAAUAGAACAAUAUAAUUAGCUUUAACUCUUUAUUCGAUUAAAUGAGAAAAAGUACUCGUUGCAAAGUUAUACUGUUAGGGCGCAACUGAGUAGUCUUUUUUUGUUCCGGUUUUGGUUCUUUUAAAGUUUGACAUCAAUUCGUUCCAUAUUUACACUCUCGGUGUAUAAUAGAACAAUAUAAUUAGCUUUUACUGUUUGUUCGAUUGAAUGAUAAAAAUUACUCGUUACAAAGUUAUACAGUUAGGGCGUAACUGAGUAGUCUACUUUUGUUCCGGUUUUGGUGUGUUUGAAGGUUGACAUCCAUUCGUACCAUAUUUACACUCUCGCGGUAUAAUAGAACAAUAUAAUUAGAUUUUACUCUUUGUUCGAUUGAAUAAGAAAAAGUACUCGUUCCAAAGUUAUACUGUUUGGGCGCAACUGAGUAGUCUAUUUUUGUUCCGGUUUUGGUUCUUGUGAAUGUUGAGAUCGAUUCGUUCCAUAUUUACACUCUCUGGGCAUAAUAGAACAAUAUAAUUAGCUUUAACUCUUUAUUGGAUUAAAUGAGAAAAAGUACUCGUUGCAAUGUUAUACUGUUAGGGCGCAACUGAGUAGUCUUUUUUUGUUCCGAUUUUGGUUCUUUUAUAGGUUGACAUCAAUUCGUUCCAUAUUUACACUCGCGGGGUAUAAUUGAACAAUAUAAUUAGCUUUUACUCUUUGUUCGAUUCAAUGAUAAAAAGCACUCGUUACAAAGUUAUACAGUUAGGGCGUAACUGAGUAGUCUACAUUUGUUCCGGUUUAGGUUCUUUUGAAGGUUGACAUCCAUUCGUUCCAUAUUUAUACUCUCGCGGUAUAAUAGAACAAUAUAAUUAGCUUUUACUAUUUGUUCGAUUGAAUGAGAAAAAGUACUCGUCGCUAAGUUAUAUUGUUAGGGCGGAACUGAGUAGUCUUUUUUUGUUCCGUUUUGGUUCUUGUGAAGGUUGACAUCGAUUCGUUCCAAAUUUACACUCUCCAGACACAAUAGAACAAUAUAAUUAUCUUUUACUCUCUGUUCGAUUAAAUGACAAAUAGUACUCGUUGCAAAGUUAUACUGUUAGGGCGCAUCUGAGUAGUCUACUUUUGUUCCGAUUUUGGUGUUUUUGAAGGUUGACAUCCAUUCGUACCAUAUUUACACCCUCGCGGUAUAAUAGAACAAUAUAAUUAGAUUUUACUCUUUGUUCGAUUGAAUGAUAAAAAGUACUCGUUGCAAAGUUAUACUGUUAGGGCACAACUGAGUAGUCUACUUUUGUUCCGGUUUAGGUUCUUUUGAAGGUUGACAUCCAUUCGUUCCAUAUUUAUACUCUCGCGGUAUAAUAGAACAAUAUAAUUAGCUUUUACUAUUUGUUCGAUUGAAUGAGAAAAAGUACUCGUCGCUAAGUUAUAUUGUUAGGGCGGAACUGAGUAGUCUUUUUUUGUUCCGUUUUGGUUCUUGUGAAGGUUGACAUCGAUUCGUUCCAAAUUUACACUCUCCAGACACAAUAGAACAAUAUAAUUAUCUUUUACUCUCUGUUCGAUUAAAUGAGAAAUAGUACUCGUUGCAAAGUUAUACUGUUAGGGCGCAUCUGAGUAGUCUACUUUUGUUCCGGUUUUGGUGUUUUUGAAGGUUGACAUCCAUUCGUACCAUAUUUACACUCUCGCGGUAUAAUAGAACAAUAUAAUUAGAUUUUACUCUUUGUUCGAUUGAAUAAAAAAAAGUACUCGUUCCGAAGUUAUACUGUUUGGGCGCAACUGAGCAGUCUUUUUUGUUCCGGUUUUUGUUCUUUUAAAGGUUGACAUCAAUUCGUUCCAUAUUUACACCUCUGCGCAUAAUAGAACAAUAUAAUUAGCUUUUACUCUUUGUUCGAUUAAAUGAGAAAAAGUACUCGUUACAAAGUUAUACUGUUAGGACGCAACUGAGUAGUCUUUUUUGUUCCGAUUUUUAUUCUUUUAAAGGUUGACAUCAAUUCGUUCCAUAUUUACACUCUCGGGGUAUAAUAGAACAAUAUAAUUAC